GUCACUAAAAUUAGUGUUGUGUCAUAGUGUCGCCAGUGCUGGCAGGUCUCGCCGUUGCGAUUGGUGUACCAAUCCUUCUGUUCUACGUGUACGGAGUUGUUCCCGUUUCGCUGUGUCGCGCCGGCUGCGGUGAAGGGACCAAAUUCGAGUUCGACGAAGAAGAAGACAAUGGAUCCAGAAAUCAUGAUGCCACCAGUGUUGAUGCCGUGUCC